AUGAAGCAAGGUCUUCAAAACUGAGAUACCUUGUUUCUCAGCUAGAGCUCUGUACUCAGCCAAAGUCUUAUUUUGGUGUGAGAACAAAACAACAUUUUUAAACAUGCAAGAUCUCAAAAAUAUGUGCUCUUUCUCAGGAAGCUAGUGGAUGAGGGCCACUAAAAUGACAGGAAGUCAAAAAAGAAAACUCUAGAGAGAAGUGAAAGGAAAUCCCGGGAUGAUAGUAAAGAAAGCUGCCAGGAUGCUGCUGAUGGGUGUGGAUUCUAACAGAUGAGAAGACUCAGAUAUCGUUUUAAAUGGAUAGGUACCCAAGAUCCAAGGGAUACGAAGAACCAGAAUUUGAACUCUAAAACCCAAGAUCUUUCCACCACUCCAUUCUUCCUUCAGCAAGUACUUCAGUUCGGACACUAUGAUCCUGGGUCGCACUUUCUUAUGUGUAUGCUGAGAAAAUUGGCUAUGAAGAUCUCUACUAGCACUAAAAUUCCAAAUCUGCGAAUCUGAAUCCCUCAUCUAGAGAGAGGGGGAAAAAAGCAAGCAAAAGAAUUCCACAUUCUCUUCAACUCAUCAAUUUCACUUACAAGUAAACACUCUAGAGAAAUUCUAGUACAAGUGUACAAGGAAACAUGCACAAGAAUGUUUACUGCCACACUGUACCAUUAAAAAAUUUGAAACAUG